AGCCCUGAGGUGAUUAAUCAUAUUGAAUUGCAAAUUCAAAGGAGUAGACUCAGAGCCUACCGGGGCUU
rnacentral:tRNA from 1 species